rnacentral:tRNA from 1 species
GGGGAUUUAGCUCAGUUGGUUAGAGCAGCUGCUUUACACGCAGCGGGUCGGGGGUUCGAGUCCCUCAGUCCCCACCA